CUCCUCGCUCCCUACGCCGCCCCAGUUCUGUUCCAUGGUGACAGGAUAGGCCGCGGGCAACCCCGUCUCGUCGGCCUGGAUCGAGCCAACCUCGAGCUUGCCGAACAGGGCUCGAUCCGCUUCAGACAUCCGCUGGCGUUUUGCCUCCAGCCGACAUGCUACUCCUGCUAUCUGGGUGGUGAUGUGUGGAUUUGAGCCGUUGUGUUCUUAAUUGCAUAUUGGAUCCAUUGAGGCAACCAGCGUGAUUGUACCAUCUGACACCCCGUGCAAGGAGACUCAAAGGUAAAUCUCCCCAAGGGCUGCAAUGAAGCAUGUGUUCUCAUUCACCUGGUUAAGCACAUCAUCGCAGUCCUGCGCCAUUUAGGUCCAUACAAAGAAGACCUAAUGAAAGAAUUUGCACCUCAACAAGAUGGUGGAAAUAUAAAACAGUGAAAGGAAAUUGCAGCUAUGCAUAUGAACAACACGUGUAGGUGGUGGUGCCGUUCUUUGGAGUUCAAGCUUCUUGCUACAUAACAAACUACUCUUUGUUGUCUAUGAUGGAUUGCAAGUUCUUAUACCAUUGUGUUAGUUGUACAAAUAUUAUGUCAUAUUGGGUGAUGUGAAAGUAUCAUUGGUACUACUACCUCCGUUUCAAGGAAUAAGGCGCCCUCGUUUUACGAGCUUUUUGUUUGACCAAGA